UCGUGGAUCCGCAAAGUCCGCCUCUUUUGUGUUAUCUCGAUUUAUCGGGUUAGGGAUUUUAGCAAUGGUGGUGCUCCGAUGGCGCUGCGAGCGUUCUACAACGAGAUCAAGGGGAUGAAGGUGAGGGAGAUUCCCUCGAACCUGAAGCCCAAGCUGUCAUGGGAUCACAUCAAGAAGAGCGCGGACCAGGCGGUUGAUCGCUACAUCUAGAAGUACAUCGAGACAAUCUCCAUCCAGCCUCUCUACCAUGUCUGCUUCGUUGGCAUGAUCUUCUCCUACCUCGUCGCCCUCCCCGAGGAGCGCUGCCACCCCGAGCACCAGCAGCACGCCGCCGCUGCCGGCCACCGAUCCUCCCAGGGUUGAAGAGCUUUCAUUUGGACGAUGAGGAAUGGAUACCUACAUUCAUUUUCGACUUACCUAAACCAAGCUGUUUGUGAUUUAUUUGCAGCUGCAGAAUUGAAACAACAGUAUGUUUUGAUUUUUUUUCCUGAAUUUAAUUGUCAUGGGACAACUAUGUCUAUGAUCAUGAUGCAAAAUAUUUUCUGAUUUUUUUUUUUGGCAAAAACAGCAUUAUUCACCGGUGCAAAAGUAUGCAUUAGUACAUUUGGGUAAAUAAGUUUCUGAAUUUUUUUUAUUAAGGUAAUUUCUGAGUGUUUUAUCUCUGCCAUUAUGGAAACUGAAGUAUGUAAAUUGCUUUGCUAUUAAGCGGUCCUUACCUGCA